rnacentral:rRNA from 1 species
GAGCUUGCUCCUUGGGUGGCGAGUGGCGGACGGGUGAGGAAUACAUCGGAAUCUACUUUUUCGUGGGGGAUAACGUAGGGAAACUUACGCUAAUACCGCAUACGACCUACGGGUGAAAGCAGGGGAUCUUCGGACCUUGCGCGAUUGAAUGAGCCGAUGUCGGAUUAGCUAGUUGGCGGGGUAAAGGCCCACCAAGGCGACGAUCCGUAGCUGGUCUGAGAGGAUGAUCAGCCACACUGGAACUGAGACACGGUCCAGACUCCUACGGGAGGCAGCAGUGGGGAAUAUUGGACAAUGGGCGCAAGCCUGAUCCAGCCAUACCGCGUGGGUGAAGAAGGCCUUCGGGUUGUAAAGCCCUUUUGUUGGGAAAGAAAUCCAGCUGGCUAAUACCCGGUUGGGAUGACGGUACCCAAAGAAUAAGCACCGGCUAACUUCGUGCCAGCAGCCGCGGUAAUACGAAGGGUGCAAGCGUUACUCGGAAUUACUGGGCGUAAAGCGUGCGUAGGUGGUCGUUUAAGUCCGUUGUGAAAGCCCUGGGCUCAACCUGGGAACUGCAGUGGAUACUGGACGACUAGAGUGUGGUAGAGGGUAGCGGAAUUCCUGGUGUAGCAGUGAAAUGCGUAGAGAUCAGGAGGAACAUCCAUGGCGAAGGCAGCUACCUGGACCAACACUGACACUGAGGCACGAAAGCGUGGGGGCCAAAAACGAUUAGAUACCCUGGUAGUCCACGCCCUAAACGAUGCGAACUGGAUGUUGGGUGCAAUUUGGCACGCAGUAUCGAAGCUAACGCGUUAAGUUCGCCGCCUGGGGAGUACGGUCGCAAGACUGAAACUCAAAGGAAUUGACGGGGGCCCGCACAAGCGGUGGAGUAUGUGGUUUAAUUCGAUGCAACGCGAAGAACCUUACCUGGCCUUGACAUGUCGAGAACUUUCCAGAGAUGGAUUGGUGCCUUCGGGAACUCGAACACAGGUGCUGCAUGGCUGUCGUCAGCU